rnacentral:misc_RNA from 1 species
GCAAACUUGGUCAUUUAGAGGAAGUAAAAGUCGUAACAAGGUUUCCGUAGGUGAACCUGCGGAAGGAUCAUUAAUGAAUAAACUUGGUGGGUUGUAGCUGGCUCUUCGGAGCAUGUGCACGCCUAUCACCUUUAUCUAUCCACCUGUGCACAAUCUGUAGUCUUGAGAGGGAUGAGAGCAGCUUGAAAAGCCUUCCUUUACCCUGAUUUGAGGAGUUGCUAUGCGAAAAGUGUGGCUUUCCUUGUUAACUUAAUGGAAAGAGAAGGGGAUUCAUGUUGUAACUUUCUCUUGAGUCUAUGUAUCUUCAUACACUACAUAGCCAGUCAUAGAAUGUAUAAUUCAAUGGGCCUUUGUGCCUAUAGAAACACUAUACAACUUUCAGCAACGGAUCUCUUGGCUCUCGCAUCGAUGAAGAACGCAGC